UAAAAACAACAUGAAGAGGCAUUUGAGAGAACAAAAGGCGAGAGGGAGAGGGAGAAGAAAAGAGAGUGGGAGAGGGAGGAAAAAACCGAGAGGGAGAGAGGCAAGGAUCAUGGGUGAGGCUGUGAAAACAGAGAAACCAUGUGUUAUAUGAUAAGAUGCUCCUCUAAAGACUGACAAUUUUACUUGGGAUUUAAGGUACUAAUCAAGAAGUCUAUAAAGGAAAAAGAUGAGUGUAUAUACACAUAUGUAUGUAUUUGUGUAUGUGCAUAUAUAUAAUUUUAAAAAACAAAUACUAGAGCUGUAGAUGUUUGCAGGAAAGAAUAUAGUUCAGGAAGAAAUGUUCGAAAUGCUUGAAAAUGCAGUGUAAUGAAUUGACUGCCAGCUUCAACAUUUAUUCAGUCUUUCCUUGCACCUAAACAUAAUAAAUGAAGGUAUACUCUAACGUGAGAAGAAUUUCUUUCUUGGUUGAGGAGCUCCUGAAGUUGAGGAAGGGAAAGGAGAAACUGCAGAUCCCCGUUACACGAAGCCUGGGGUUGGAGCAAGCAGUGGAAUUCGUCCUCUUCCGCAUUCAGACAGGGACACAAGCCACAGCUCUAGCUCCCUCCCAGGCAGAAGGGAGAACAUUCUGGGAGUACAGUGAGGAGAGAAGGGAUAAGGAUGAGUGAAUAAAGUGGAGAGGGAGCAGCUUCACAGAGCAUUGUUCUAAGUCCCCCCAUACUGUGCCUGUGAUUACUAUGAAUUCCUUCACUCCUGAUGGUCACAGCAAGAAGGUUGUCAAGCAACUGAGUAUUUGCAUUUGGACCAAUGCAAAGAUAGGAUGCUUCCAUCUGAAGAUUCACUUUUUAAUAGAUAACUUUACAUCUGGCUCUCAGAUCUCCAUGUGUAGCAUCAAAAAGCAUUAAGUAAAUUGCUGUGGAUUAUGUCCUCAAUGAAAUAGUACAGAGGUAUAUAAGGCACUACUGUUUCAUCUUUGGAAAGUAAAAGUGAUAGGUGAGACAGUAAAUCCAUAAUCCAUCCUUUAUUCCUCCUCUCCCAUCAAAUCUACAACCUGGCCCCAUCAAUGUGCAUUUCAUACUUAUUUCCCGUGUCUCCUCUCUCUCCCUGCUGACUCCCACUGCUCUAGUUGAGGUUUUCAUCCUCUCUAUUCCAGACAGAUACACCAUGAAAUAGCUGUUGAAUGUCUGCCUUGUGUAUUAUCCUAUCCUCUGUGCUCAGAUAGAGUGAGAGAAGAUACACAUGGGUGCCUGCCUUCAUGGAGCCUAUAGUUUCUGUGGGGAAAACAAAGUGAACAACCAAUUACACAAUUCAUUAUUACAGUGGUGAAGAAUGAAUUAAAGACAAAGUGAAGGGUACUAGAGAGCAUAUGGUACCCCAAAAAUGCUUCCUUUAGAAGUUAAUAUGUGGGCUGAGAUUUGAGGCAUAGGUAAGAAUUAACUUGGUGUAGCAGAUCAUGAGGUCAGGAGUUCGAGACCAGCCUGGCCAACAUGGUGAAACCCUGUCUCUACUAAAAAUACAAAAAUUAGCCAGGCCUGGUGGGGGGUGCCUGUAAUCCCAGCUACUUGGGGGACUGAGGCAGGAGAAUCACUUGAACCUGGGAGGCAGAGGUUGCAGUGAGCUGAGAUCAUGCCACUGCACUCCAGCCUGGGCGACAGAGCGAGACUCCGUCUCAAAAAAAA